rnacentral:lncRNA from 1 species
GGGUAUUUUUCUUCACAAAAAAUUGAAACCAAUGUGUCUUACAUACACACUUCCAAUUACAAGACCUUGAACGCUCCCUUCUUGAGUUCCCUGAACCUCUACCUUGGUUUGACCUUACCCAAUCGCCAAGGAAAACCUUUCCUACGAUCCAGCCCCAACCAAGAGUAUGUAUAAAACUCAAGAUGUCCAAGUCUUGGUGAAGACUCUCUGAUCUCUUUGGUGGUAUGACACCAAGAGACGACUUUACCUUGUUACACAAACAACACAAAAACAGAAGUAAUGUGAAGCAACAAAAUAACUC